rnacentral:lncRNA from 1 species
AGUGAAAAUCAUUUCAGUGGAAGUGUACCAGCAUGGAUUGGUGAUAAGCUCUCAAACCUUGAGAUUCUAAGCCUUCGAUCAAAUAACUUUGAUGGACAUAUUCCUCAUAAAAUUUGUGAUCUUCAAUUUCUUCAAAACUUGGAUCUUGCCCACAACAACAUUUCUGGAGUUAUUCCAAAAUGUUUUUAUAAUUUAAGUGCAAUGGCCACAACAAAAAAAACCAAUAAUGAAAUUUCUGCGGGGAAUGUAAAUUAUGUAAAUCUUGAAGACCCAAUUUAUUUGAACAAUGUAAAUGCUGCCCCAUUUUAUUUGAAAGCAUUAUUGGUAAUGAAAGGACGAGAGGAUGAAUAUGGUAGCACACUAGGACUUGUUACAAGCAUGGACCUUUCAGCUAACAGUCUCACAGGAGAGAUCCCCAAAGAAAUUGGUAGUCUCAUUGGACUAUUGUCUUUAAAUUUUUCUGGGAAUCUCUUAACAGGAAAUAUACCAGACAGCAUUGGCAAGAUGGAGUUAAUGGAAUCUCUUGAUUUGUCCAUGAAUCGACUAAAUGGUGAAAUCCCUCCAAGUUUCUCCAAUUUGAAUUUCUUGAACCACUUCAAUGUGUCCUACAACAACUUGACAGGACAAAUCCCAACAAGCACUCAGCUUCAAAGCUUUGAGAACUUGUCUUACGUGGGCAAUCAUCUUUGGGGACCUCCUCUCACUAAGAACUGCACCUCAAAAGGUAUUCCAAUUGACGUUGCAAAUAAUGGAAGUAGCAGGGAAGGAAGUAAAGUGAAUUGGCUUUAUGUCAGCAUAGUUCUCGGCUUUGUAAUGGGAUUUUGGGGUGUAGUGGCUCCCUUGUUUUUCAUCAGGUCUUGGAGGCAUGCAUACUAUCGAAAGUUGGACCAUGUUGGUCGAAAGCUGUAUGUGUCUUGGGCUACUAUGGGUAUGUAGUUUGAUGGGAAAAAAACAUGUGUAAACAUGUUGUCUAAAGUUGGUAUAAUUUACUGGAGAUUGGAUCCAAGUGUGUUUUGAUUAUGUAUGAAUAUGUUUUGCUGUAUUUCAAUAAUAUACAAUGAAAAUAAUUUUCAGCAAAAAAUGUUGUUUGAUAAAUUCCAUCAGUUGCUUAGCUUAAUAAUUGAGUAGACGUGGCAGCCAUAGAUCUGGUCUUCUUCCUCCUUGAUCCUUCAAAUUUGGAGUAACAAAAAUAGUAGUAAAUAGGAUUAGCCUAUUUUUUUCUGUCAUUUUUUAAUUGUUGCCAAUGGAUCUCAACAAAAAAAGAGUUCAGCUGUUGCUCUUCAUCCUUGGACUCACCCUUCUCAGUAAGACAGGUAACAACAUCAAAACGUCCUCGUUUUUGCAUUUGGUCUGGAAAAUAAAAGAAGUCGUAAAUGUUGGAAUUUAUAUCUCCAAGUUAAUUUCAAGUUUGUAAAAUUUAAUGUAAUUGAUUGUUCUCUCUUCUUUGUUAACUUUUAUGGAUCAAAUUGGUAUACCUGUUUAGAGUUAUUUCGAUUUUUUAUUUUAAAGUAUAUAUUUGGAUUCAGCACAUUCAAACAAUGAGAAUGAGCAUAGAAUAUUUCAAAAAUAUAUGAAACAAUUUAUAAAAGUUUUAAUAUACUCAAGUGAAAUACAUACCCGACAAAAAUCCUUUCAAGUUAUCGAGAUUCCAUCCACUCCAGCCAUAUAGAGUGGUUUUUUGUUUUUAAAAAUUGAGUUUGAAGAAAGGUGAAUCGAGUUUUUAACAAGGGCGCUAGGGACGGGCACCUGGAAAAUUUUCUAUUUAUAUCUUUUAAAAUUUUAAAUUAGUAAAAGUAAAAUUGCACUUUGAUCUCCUUAGAAAAUGAUAAAAUUUUGAUUUAAUCCUUUAAAAAUUAUAAAGAGAUAAGGUAUUAAAACGGUGAAAUUGCAUUUUUACUAUCGUAAAAAUUUCAAUUUAAUUUCGGUUCUCCUAAAUAAAUUUCUGGCUUUUGGAAUUAUUGAAUGAAAAAAAUAAUUUCGAAUUUUUCAAAUGAUUUUAUAAAUCUCUUGACAUGUAGGAAGGAAAUUAAGAAAAAUGAUAGAGCAUGAGGAUAUUCAAAAUGAGAUUAUAAAAUUUAGGCUUAAUCCACAAACUGGUACCUAAAUUAAAAUUUUCUCAUCUUGGUAUUUAAACAUUUUUUUUGUCACAAGUGAUAUCAAAAUUUUGCAAGUCAAUCUAUCAACCCUUAUCUCCGAACCAAUACCCCAACAGAUUCUCAAUCCAACCGGUCAAUCCAGUCCAAUUUUGAAAACAUUGGAUUUGGUCGAUGAAACAACUUUUUUGAUCUCAUCAAAUCGAACAAGCAAGUGGUGAAAUUCGAAAAUAUAAUCAAUUGCCAGCAUCUCAACUUUGAGAGAGUGAAUUUUGAGCAUCGCUAGUAUUGUCAUACAUUAUAAAAGAAGAAGAAGAAAAAAAAGGGAAUGGGAAAAAAAGUAAAAAAGAGAGAAAAAUGUAAAAGAAAAAAGGAAAAAAAUUAAAAAAAUAUAUUUUUUAAGUUAUAUGACAUGGCAGAUUAUUAUUAGCUGGAAUUUUAUUGAAUGGGUAUAACAUUUUGGUGUCAAAUGGGUAAGAGAAGAAUAGUUUAAGUACCACUUAAGAGCAAAAAUAUGUUUAGAUACCAACUUAUAAGUUAAGCCUUAUUUAAACAUAGAUUUAAUAGUUAGACUAACAAAGGUACCAACUUAAAAAAAAAAAAACAAAAGUGGUUUAGAUCUCAACAUAGGAAAAAAGGAUAUAAUUUAAGUAUCAAUAUUUGAAUUAAGCCUAAAAUAUAUAUUGAAAUUUUUGAAAAGUAAUAAAGUGAGUUUAGAUAGAGGAUGGAUGUUGAGUUAGGUUCAUUGGGAAGCAGGACAUAGUAAAUAUUGGUAUAAUAUUGAAUUUAGUUUUCAAUUUUUUUUUGUCAAUUUAGUUUUUAUUCUUUUUUUGAGCUCAAUUUGACCCAUAACAUUUUCAAAAGAGUCUCAUUAUUGUUUUUUUAACGGAAAUAUUAACUAAAACAUUCAAUUUUUAAACAUUGAAACAUGCAUAACAAUCCACAUGUAUUUAGAUUGAUGUAGCAUAUAAGACAAAUAGUGUUAUGUCAGUAUGAAAUAUAUGUGGACUACCAUGCGUCCUAGCAUGCCAACAUCGCUAAAAUAUUAGUUUUUUUAGUCAACAAUUCUUUUUUUUAAAGCAAUUUGAUUCUUUUUAAAAAAUUAAUGGUCAAAUUUAACUCAAAAAAAAAGAAUUAAAAUCAAAUUGACAAUAGAUGUAAUCAUUAAGGGCCCAAUUUAACAAUAUGCCAUAAAUAUUUCUUUACAUGAGAGAAAAUUUUUCAGAUUUUAUUUUAAAACACAAAUAAUUUUACAACUUUUGGUAACUAAAACUUUAUUGAGAAAACUCAACAUGAAACAAUUAGUUGUUUCAAUUUACUAUCAAAACGGAAUGUUUCGAUCAGUACGUGGUACCAAAAGAGUAUCAAGUACUAUAGAUUGAAGUUCUAUAUUGACACUUUAUGAUUUAGUUCUUAAAUCUGAUAAUAAUAAACCUCUCCCCUAACUAAAUCAACCUUUUCAAAUAAUUAAAAAAUAAUUUUUAAUCUCCACUCAUGAAAAUGAAAUACAAUUUAUUGUCAAUCAUUUAUCUUUUCGGAAUACAUCCACAAUUAGAAGAUUAAUCACUAUUACUGAUUAUGGAUGUUCAAAAAAUAAUAUUUUUUAAUCCCGCUCACGAAAAUGGAACAUAUUUUAUUGUCACUCAUUUAACUUUUCGGAAAAUAUCUUCAGUUAGAAAAUUAAUCACUGCUAUCAAUGAUGAAUAUCGUAAUUACGGCAAGAAAAAUAAUUUUUGAGAUUGAGACAAACAGAUUUAAGUUGAAUUUUUAAAAGUAAUAUUUGAAGUUUUAAAAAAUAUUUUAUUCACAUAUAAAAAUUAGAAAAUUUCAAACAUUGAAGCUAAGCCAAAUUUCUCCAAUGUCUUAAGAAUCUUAAGAACCUCGUGUUGAGAUAAUUAUCAAUAUUGCCAAUUAACUUCUAAGUCAUUAAAAAGAAACUUCAGUCCUCCAAUCACAAUUCAACACUUUUCUAAAUUUUCAUUGGCAUUGAUAAUAGUAAAUUUAUAUUUUGGCUCUCUUAAAAAUAAUACAAAAUUAAUUUAAUCCUUUAAAAAUUAUAAAAAUAUAGGCUACUAAAAUAGUGAAUUGUAUUUUUAUUAUCGUAAAAAUAUAUAAUUUAAUUCUGGACUCCCAAAAAUAAAAUCUGACUCCAUGUUAAAUUGAUUUAUUUUCAAUAAAAUUUUGUUGGAAGAAACUUCCUUGUGCUUCAUGUAUUUUUCUGUUUUACCUCAAAAGGUAUUCCAACUGAUGUUGCAAAUAAUGGAAGUAAUAGAGAAGGAAGUAAAGUGAAUUGGCUUAACUCAGCAUAGUUCUUGGCUUUGUAAUGGGAUUUUGGGGUGUAGUGGCUCCCUUGUUUCUCAUUAGGUCUUGGACGAUUGCAUACUAUCGAAAGUUGGACCAGAUCUAUGGUAAAUUGUAUGCGUUUUGGGCUACUAUGGGUAUGUAGUUUGAUAGGAAAAAGGCAUGUAUAAUUGAUGCAUCUGAGCUAGAUUGUUGGGUGCUGAAAGAUUAGUUUUAGCCUUUUUGUCCUUUUUUGGGACUCAUGGGUGUGCCAACAAGGUGGCCCACUCGCUUGCGUAACUAGCUUUGUUAUAUGCAAAUUCACAAGGAAUGAGAUGCUUUUCCCCUUGCAUCUUUCUUUGAAGAAUGUUGAAAUUAUGUCUUAUGUGGAUUGCAGAUGGUAGGUUCGGGUGUAUGGGGUGAGCUUGUUGGCCUGGGUUUUGUAGUCUGUCUCCUCUUUGUGUUUACUAUUAUUUUGUGACUUUUUCAUUAAUAAAUUUUUUUCUCUCAAAAAAAUUAGUAAAUUUAGACACACAAAAGUAUAAGGGUAAACCACACCCAAGGCCACUCUAAUUUUUUUAUCAAUUUACUCAAUCUAAUUAAUAUUAUUGUUCGAACUAGUUACUGCAGUUAAAAAUUCUGUUAAUCCAUUAACGGAUUGUUGUUGUAACAAAUUAGCCAAUUGAAUGAUGACACGUGGCACUUUCUUUUGACUUUUGGUAAAAACUUAAAGACCUCUCUAUAAUUAAUCCAGAACAUUUUCUUCCCUUUCUGUUCUCGUAGUAACUCAAAAUGUAGAAACCAAAACAGACAUCUCAAAGCUACAUGUCCUUCACCAUUUUCUCAACAAUGGAUGUAUGACAACUAUCAAUGAUAACCCACCAUAUAUCCACAAAUAGUUAAAAGAAAAAUGAACAUAUAUAAAUAAGCAGGCAAUUCCACUAUCAAUGUAUGGCAUAGAUAAGGCAAGGGCAAAAGCUUCAACCUUUAUUAUUCGUUAUAUGCAGGCAAUUCCAACUUUUGGGAGCUAAGCCAAAAUUCUAAACCUCUAAUAGAUUUUAAUAAUAACCUCAUCUUUGUAAUAUUUAAAGAGUUUGACAGCAGACCUACAAGAUUUUACAACAUUUAAUGAUUUAUUGAUUUAUUUAUUUACAAGCAAAACCAUACCAUAGGUUAUACUGUUACUUUUUUUUAUUAUUAUCUAACUGUCAUUUUUUUAGUCUAUUUCCGUUUAGUGUCGUAAACUCUCUGAAGAAACGGUGAUAUAGCAAUUAAAAAAUUGAUAAUAACAAGUUUAGUUCUCAACUUUUACAUAUUAUAUUGAUUUAGAUAAAUUCUUUAAAAAAUCAACCCUCAAAAUUUACAAAUGGUCUCAAUUUGAUCCUCAUAUUUUUUUUUAAUAAUUUUGAUUUUUAAUUUUAAAAAUAAUUGUUAGAAUAUUUUAAAUUUUAAAAAUGAAUUAGUUGUUACAAAUGGUUUGUUUGUGUUUGUGGUUGAUUAUAUAGGAUUCAGAUUUUAGAUCUAUUAAAUGCCACUUUUUAAAAGAGAUUACUUGAAUCAAUUGAUCAAAACUUCAAGUUUAGUUUUAGUACUCGUACAAGAAUCUAGGGCAUUUCAAGCUUGUGUAAUUUAUUGAAAUGUCAACAAUGCGGAUGUUAUUAUGUCUCUCGGGGUUUGAGUACGCCAGAUUUAGUCCUUGUAUUGAUGUAGCUUAUGCCAUUCGGGAGGCGUUGUCAUGGCUAAAGGCUCUGCUCUUCGAUAAUGUGGUCAUUGGGUCUAAUUGUGUGGCUGUUACGACUGCUUGGACUCCGCCAAUAAUGGAUGCAUCUGAGCUAGGUGUAUUGUUACACGAUUGUUUAGUGCUGAAAGAUUAGUUUAAGCAGCUGUCUUUUUUUUUUUUAUUAGUCGGUGUGCCAACAAGACAACCCACUUACUUGUGUGAGCAGCUUUCUUAUAUGCAAAUCACAUGGAAUGGGAUGUUUUUUCCCUUGCAUCUUUUUCAAAGAAUGUUGCAAUUAGGGUAAACUACUAAAAUAGUUACUUUUGUUUGGUUCAUGUUACAUUUUAGUCACUUAUGUUUGAAAUGUUACGUUUUAAUAACUUAUGUUAUCGUGUUGUAACAUUUUAGUCACUGAGCCGUUAGUUUAUGUUAACGGUGUAACAAAAAGCUGAUGUGGCAUGUUAAAUCAUCAUUUCAAACAAAAAUUCUAGGUUAAUUUAUACAAUCGGUCCCCAUAUUUUUUCGUUUGGAGCAAUUUAAUUUUUUUCUUUUAUGUUUUUUUAACUUUAUUUCUUUUCCAUUCUCUUAUGCUUCUUCCUUUGUUUUCCUCCUUUCUCCAUUUCUUUCAAUGUAGUGUUUCUAUGUUUUAUUUUUUUUAAACAAUUUAAUUUUUUUUAGUGAGGCGAGCUUGUGGACUAGUUACAAAUGGAAAACAUAGAAAAACUAUGUUAAAAGAAAUGAAGAAGGGAGGAAAAUAGAGAGAGAAGCAGAAGAGAAUGGAAAAAAAAGUUAAAAGAACAUAAAAGAAAAUUUUAAAAUUGUUGAAAAUGAAAAAAUAUAAGGACCAAUUGUAGAAUUUAACCUAAAAUUUUCGUUUGAAAUGAUGAUUUAACGUGCCACAUCAGCUUACCGUUACAACAUUGUUGGCAAUUAACGACCCAGUGACUAAAAUGUUACAACACGAUAACGUAAGUGACUAAAACGUAACAUUUCAAACAUAAGUGACUAAAAUGUAACCUAAGGCAAACAAAAGUGACUAUUUUGGUAAUUUACCUGUUGCAAUUAUACCAUAUGUUGAUAUAAAUGAGGAUUACGGAUGGUAGGUUUGGGUUUAUGGGGUGAGCCUAUUGGCUCAAGUCUAGUAAUUUGUCUUUUCUCUAAAAAAAAAUAGUAAUUUUAGACACACAUAAAAGUAUAAGGAUAAAUUACACUCAAGGUCACUCUAAAAUAGGGUUUGUCCACUCUAAAUUUUUUUUCAAUUUAAUCACUUUAGUUAAGAUAAUUACUCAAACUGGUCAUUGUGUUAAAAAUUUCGUUAAUCCACUAACGGAUUAUUAAUGUGGCAUAUUAACCAAUUAAAUGAUGAUACAUAGCACUUUUUUUUUAAAUUUUAACAAAAACUUAAGGACUUCUCUAUAAUUAAUCCAACACACUUUAUUUUCCCUUUCUCUUCUCUGUUCUCUCUUCUCUCUAACUCAAAAAAGAGAAACCAGAACAGGCAUCUCAAAGCUACAUGCCUUUCACCAUUUUCUCAACAAUGGAUCUAUGGCAACUAUCAACGAUAACCAACCAUAACUAAAGAGGAAUGAACAUAUAUAAAUAAGAAUGGAUGUAUGGCAUGGUUAAGGGAAGUGCAAGGGCAAAAGCUUCAACCUGUAUAAUUCGUUAUAUGCAGGCAAUUCGAAUUUUGGAGAGCUAAGCCAAAAUUCUAUACGUUUAAUAGAUUUGAAUAAUAACCUCAUGUUCAGAUAUUUUGCUAUAUUUAAAGAGUUUGGCUGCACACCUACAAGAUUUUACACGAUUUUUUUAUUUAUAAACUAUACCACAGCUAUAUGUAUAUUGUGAUCAUUUAACUAACAAUUUUUUUAAUUUGGUCGUCAUCCAACUGAUCAAGAAUUUUUUUGGUCCAUUUACAUUAAGUGUUGUUAAAUCUCUUACGAGAGGAAACGUAGCAAUUAAAAAAUCGAUAAUAAUAAAUUUAGCAUUUAAUUUUUACAUAUUAUUUCGAUUUAGUCAUAAAUUUAAAAAAAUUAACCCUCGAAGUUUACAAAUGGUCUCAAUUUGAUCCUCAUCUUUUUUUAAUGAUUUUUAAGUUUAAAAAGACUUUAUAAAAUUUUAAAUUUUAUAAAAUUAAUUAAUUGUUGGCAUGUCAUCUAUAUGGCAAUCCUCGAGUAUGCCACAUUAGCAAAGUUAACAAAUUAUCAAGGAGUUGCUUCUAUUGGUUUGAUUGUAAUUGCUAUUCUCAAUGAGUUGCUUUGUUUUCAUUUAGAUUCUAUGUUUGCAAGUAAAAAUUAACAUAUGCUAUGGAGGCUUGUCUAGAUUAUGAAUGAGGGCAUGUUGAGAGCACUUGUACUCAUUCAUUGAGGAACUGUUUGGUGUGAUAGUGCAAAUUGAAUUGUAAACAUUGGGUGUUUACUUCCCAAGUUCUCAUGGAGAGUAUUUAGAGGUGAAUGUUGUAGUUUUUAGGUACAAUGGUGGGAUUUCUACUUGGGGAGUGAUAGAAUGUGAUUCACUUGUUGUAUUGUGGAGUAAAAAUUACGUUUAUAUUUUAACAGGACAAAUUGAUUAACGCGAGUGACUAGUUUGAAUAUUUAUUUUAACGAGAAUAACUAAAUUAAGAAAAAAAUUAGAGUGACCAAAAUAGGACAAACUGCAUUGUAGUAUAUAAACAUAAAUUGAUUUAUUUUCAAUAAAAGUUGAAGUAGUAUUCCUUAUCAAAAUUUUGCUUUUCUUACUCAAAUUCCGUGUUUUCCAUUAGCUUUUCCUUCUCUUUUUUCUCCUUUAGCUUUUAGUAGACUUUUGUUUGACUCAACUUUAUAACCUUUUGUGGAUAAAUAAAUUUCGAAUUUAAUGCAUUUUGUUGGAAGAAACUUCCUUGCGCUUCAUGCAUUUUUGUGUUUUAGCUAUAGCUUACUCUAUAUAUUUGGAGUUGUGAGCCAUGGCAAUUGCAACCAUGACUACUCCUCUUCCUAUUUCCUUAUUCCCUUUUCUUCUUCUCAUUCCCGCUAUCUGUUUUACAGUUUGUCAUGCCAAUUCCAACCUACUUUGCAUUCAGAGUGAGAGAGAAGCUCUUUUGAAAUUCAAGAAUCAUCUUAUUGAUCCUUCAAACAGGCUAUCGUCAUGGGUUGAAGGUGGGGAUUGCUGUGAAUGGACUGGUGUCGUCUGCCAUAACUCCACCGGCCACGUCAACCAACUGCACUUGGCCGCUCCUCUUUCAGAGCCUGAUGGCUUUGCAACAAAUGCUGAAAUGGAAGCUUACUACAAUUCCCGGCUAGGAGGCAAAAUAAAUCCUUCACUGCUGGAGUUGAAGCAUCUCAGUUCCCUGGACUUGAGCUAUAACGAUUUUAACAGCAUACAUAUCCCGAAAUUUUUCGGUUUGCUGGAGAGUUUAACAUAUCUUAAUCUCUGUCGAGCACAAUUUCAGGGACCAAUUCCUCAUAACCUUGGGAAUCUCUCAAAGUUGCAGUAUCUUGAUCUUGGAGGGAAUAAUCUCAAAUCAAAAACUCUUCAAUGGGUUUCUGGACUUUCUUCCUUGCAGUACCUUGAUUUGAGUUAUGCGGAUCUUCAUACAGCAAAUGAUUGGGUACAGGUGACACUCAAACUUCCUUCUUUGUUAGAGUUGCACUUUUCACGUUGUAGUUUAGACAAUGAUCCAUCUUCGAUCAAUGUUAAUUCUUCAAAAUCACUGGUUGUUCUUGAUCUUUUUCGGAACCGCUUUUCUUCAGUACCUAAGUGGAUAUUUAGUCUUCAUGGUCUUGUGUCCAUUGAUCUUAGUGGCAAUUCUUUGGAAGGCCCAAUUCCAGAUUACUUUGGGAACAUCUCGUUUCUUGAAGUUCUUGAUCUUAGUUGGAACCAUCUCAAUUCAUCCAUACCCAAUUCCUUGUAUAGUUUAAACCGUCUUCAGUUCCUUAGUCUUAGGGAUACCCAGUUACAAGGACCAAUCUCGAAAAUCAAUUAAAUGGUCAAGUUCCAUUGUCUAUAGGGGAGCUAUCAUCUUUGAAGUUGUUUAAUGUUUCAAAAAAUCAGUUAAACGGCCAAAUUCCCUCGUCUAUAGGGCAGUUAUCAUCUUUGGAGGUAUUUGAUGUUUCAGAAAAUCAAUUAAAUGGUACUUUUCCUCUAUCUUUGGGUCGACUAGAAAGUUUGGAAACUCUGGAUUGUGGGUAUAAUCUAUUAGAAGGAGUUGUAUCAGAAACCCAUUUUUCUAAUCUCACGAGAUUGACAACUCUAGCAGCAUCACACAAUCGGCUUAGAUUUGAACCAAACUCAAGCUGGAUUCCCCCAUUUCAAUGUGAAAGUAUCGAAUUAGGUCACUGGCAUCUUGGCCCAAAGUUUCCCCAGUGGCUAAAAUUCCAAAAGGAAUUGUUUUAUUUGGAUAUCUCCCAUGCAGGAAUUUCAGAUGUCAUGCCCACUUGGUUUUUGAACCUUCCCACUUCAUUUAAAUCUUUAAACCUUUCCUCGAAUCAACUUAGAGGAGAGAUUUCAUAUUUGAAUGUGAGAAACUCUGUUGAUUUGAGUUCAAACCGAUUCAUAGGCCCAUUGCCAAGAGUAUUCCCAACUUUAUUAUUUCUAAUUUUAUCAAAUAAUUCAUUUUCGGGAUCUCUUUUUGAAUUAGUUUGUAAUUCAUCAAGUGGGAAAUGGAUGGAAGUUCUUUACAUUGAUAAAAAUCUUAUCUCAGGAGAUAUUCCAGAUUGUUGGAAUCAUUGGCACCAUUUGAAACUUUUAAAUUUGGAAAGCAACAAUUUGACCGGAAAAAUCCCACCUUCUUUAUGGCAUCUAAAUUUUAUAAUGCUAAACCUUCGAAAUAAUACAAUGUUUGGAGAAUUGCCAUCCACAUUGCAAAAUUCUCCAUAUUUGAUUAUGUUUGAUCUUAGUGAAAAUCAUUUCGGUGGAAGUGUACCAGCAUGGAUUAGUGAUAAGCUCUACCUUGUGAUUCUAAGCCUUCGAUCAAAUAACUUCGAUGGACAUAUUCCUCAUGAAAUUUGUGAUCUUCAAUUUCUUCAAAACUUGGACCUUGCCCACAACAACAUUUCUGGAGUUAUUCCAAAAUGUUUUAAUAAUUUAACUGCAAUGGCCACAACAAAC